rnacentral:rRNA from 1 species
UACGGAGGGUGCAAGCGUUGUCCGGAUUUAUUGGGUUUAAAGGGUGCGUAGGUGGCUUGUUAAGUCCGGGGUGAAAGCCCACAGCUCAACUGUGGAACUGCCCUGGAUACUGGCGGGCUUGAGAGUAGUCGAGGGUGGCGGAAUGGACGGUGUAGCGGUGAAAUGCAUAGAUACCGUCCAGAACCCCAAUUGCGUAGGCAGCUGCCUAGGCUACAUCUGACACUGAGGCACGAAAGCGUGGGGAGCGAACAGG